UUGUCUCAAAGAUUAAGCCAUGCAUGUCUCAGUACAAGCCAAAUUAAGGUGAAACCGCGAAAGGCUCAUUAAAUCAGUUAUGGUUCCUUAGAUCGUACCCACAAUUACUUGGAUAACUGUGGUAAUUCUAGAGCUAAUACAUGCAAACAGAGCUCCGACCGGAGACGGAAGGAGUGCUUUUAUUAGAUCAAAACCAAUCGGUGGCGGGUUCGCUCGUUAUCGUACAACUUGGUGACUCUGAAUAACUUUACGCUGAUCGCACGGUCAUCGCACCGGCGACGCAUCUUUCAAAUGUCUGCCUUAUCAACUGUCGAUGGUAGGUUCUGCGCCUACCAUGGUUGUAACGGGUAACGGGGAAUCAGGGUUCGAUUCCGGAGAGGGAGCCUGAGAAACGGCUACCACAUCCAAGGAAGGCAGCAGGCGCGCAAAUUACCCACUCCCGGCACGGGGAGGUAGUGACRAAAAAUAACGAUACGGGACUCAUCCGAGGCCCCGUAAUCGGAAUGAGUACACUCUAAACCCUUUAACRAGGAUCAAUUGGAGGGCAAGUCUGGUGCC
rnacentral:rRNA from 1 species